CAGGACGAACGCUGGCGGUGUGCUUAACACAUGCAAGUGGUGCGACGAACCAGAGCUUGCUCUGGGGCAAAGCCGCGAACGGGUGAGUAACACGUGGGUAAUCUACCCCGAUGACCGGGACAACCCGAGGAAACUCGGGCUAAUACCGGAUGUGGUACGGAGACAUAAGUCUCUUUACUAAAGGUAGCUUCGGCUUCCGCAUUGGGAGGGGCCCGCGGCCCAUUAGCUAGUUGGUGGGGUCAAGGCCUACCAAGGCAACGAUGGGUAGCUGGUCUGAGAGGACGAUCAGCCACACUGGGACUGAGACACGGCCCAGACUCCUACGGGAGGCAGCAGUGGGGAAUCUUGCGCAAUGCGCGAAAGCGUGACGCAGCAACACCGCGUGAGGGAAGACGGCCUUAGGGUUGUAAACCUCUUUCAGAUGGGACGAAGGUGAUGCGGUGAAUAGCCGAUGUCAUUGACGGUACCGUCAGAAGAAGCUCCGGCUAACUACGUG
rnacentral:rRNA from 1 species